UACAGAGGUCUCAAGCGUUGUUCGGAUUCAUUGGGCGUAAAGGGUGCGUAGGUGGUGCCGUAAGUCAGGUGUGAAAUUUCGGAGCUUAACUCCGAAACUGCAUUUGAUACUGCGGUGCUUGAGGACUGGAGAGGAGACUGGAAUUUACGGUGUAGCAGUGAAAUGCGUAGAGAUCGUAAGGAAGACCAGUGGCGAAGGCGGGUCUCUGGACAGUUCCUGACACUGAGGCACGAAGGCCAGGGGAGCAAACGGGG
rnacentral:rRNA from 1 species